rnacentral:rRNA from 1 species
GAUGAACGCUGGCGGCAUGCCUAACACAUGCAAGUCGAUCGGUAAGGCUCUUCGGAGUACACGAGAGGCGGACGGCUGAGUAACGCGUAGGAACACACCCUGCAGUGAGGGAUAAGACACCGAAAGGUGUUCUAAUACCGCAUACGGUCUUCGGAUUAAAGCAUUUAUGCGCUGAAGGAGUGGCCUGCGUCAUAUUAGAUAGUUGGUGAGGUAAUGGCUCACCAAGUCGAUGAUGUGUAGCUGGUCUGAGAGGAUGAUCAGCCAGACUGGAACUGAGACACGGUCCAGACUCCUACGGGAAGCAGCAGUGAGGAAUAUUUCACAAUGAGCGAAAGCUUGAUGGAGCAAUGCCGCGUGCGGGAUGAAGGCCCUCGGGUUGUAAACUGCUUUUAUAAGAGAAGAUUAUGACGGUAACUUAUGAAUAAGGGACGGCUAACUACGUG